AAUAACCGAGAAGUUACAUACAAUGUGUAUGUUAAGAAAAAAUACAACAUUGCAAAACUAUUGCGGUUUAAUGAUCAUUAAAUGCGGUUUUAUGAUCAUUAAAAGAAAUAAUGCUUCAUAAAUACCAGUAUUACAAUAUAUUGUUAUGACUUAUGGGUUAUUGAAAAAAAAAAUGAUAUAUUUGUAUCUAAAUCUACGUAGACCAAAUGCAGAUGAAUAAUCAUGGUAGGAAGAUUUUCAUAUUUUUAGUUGGAGACAAAUUGACUCUGACCCUAAAAACGUUUUAAGAAGAGCCAUUGAAUUGUGCAACUAUCGAAUCAGUUGGGAAAAAAAUGCGAUGUAUUUAACCAUGAAUCAUAACAAGAUUUAAAAUGUGUAUGAUUAUGCUUUCACGCAUAAGUAUGUAUAAUUUAUACUUCAUAAACAUAUUUUUAUUUUCAAA